CUUUAACAAUCCGGAACAAGCUGAAAAUUGAAACAGACAUGCUGCUGCAUUUCUCCGUAAUAAGAAAUGCGCGGUGUGUCAGAGUCUCUCAAACUCGCAGCACGAAGACUUCUUCGG
rnacentral:sRNA from 1 species